rnacentral:sRNA from 1 species
GCCAUUCGCCUUUCAGGCAUCCUCUCCCAAAACUUUUCAGGGCCGGCGUAAGCUGGCCCUUCUUUUAUCCGCGUU